rnacentral:lncRNA from 1 species
GCUCUCCGACUCUAAAAAACCGAUCUCCAAAUGCUUCUUUCUUUAUCCUCUCCUCCCUUUUAAGUCUGUGUGGUCUCCUUUUUCUUCCGCCUUGGACUCCGAAUUGGAAUAGCCAAUGGCGCCUCCCCAGAAUUCUUGUUUCUAAGAAGAUCUUUCCAUGGAAAGGAGGUUUCCUCCAAAAUGGCAUAGAGAACGGAACAGCUUCAAAUGGAACUGAAGCCUCCAUAUU